UAAAUUUCUUAAGAAUGCCUCGAAACAUGGAAUUUUGAAUGAUUUUCAACAUGAGGUCUAUUAUUUCUUUGUGUCUAUCUCUUAUAAUUUCUAUAUUUUUCUUUGCUUGAUCCAAAUGAUUAUUCAUGUAGUUUUCUUGUGUUUAUUGCAUCCAUAGGAUUUUUUUUAUAGGACACUUUAAUCUUGCACUUCUUUUUUAUUUCAACAUAAUAUUUUCUUAUUUCAACCAAUUUGAGUAUGGGGGCUGCUACACUACGGUAUAUCGUCAAAACAAAAAAAUAAUAACAUGUUACCUUGUAGGUAAUAUGGUACCGCAUGUAUCGUGUAUGAAACCUCAAAUGUACCAGAAUACCAUAUCUAAGUAACAAUGUACCUUACACAUAUCGUAUAUGAU
rnacentral:lncRNA from 1 species